AUGGUGUUGGUGGUGGUGAUGAUGAUGAUGGUGGUGGUGGUGGUGGUGCUGGUGGUGAGAGAGAAAAUGGCAAAGUACAACUACAACAAGACGACGAUGAUGAUGAUGAUGACAAUGAUGAUGAUGGUGAGGAUGUGGUUAUGACAGUGGACGAUGAUAACAGGAACAUUGACGACGAUGACGAUGACGAAAUGUUUGACGACGACGCGAGCAGGCAGGGCGAAGGACACGAGCAGUCGCCCACGGAUUCUGAACCGACGACCGGAAGCAGACAAACAGCAGCGGCAAAGACUAUAAACUCAACAUCAACAGCAGCGACGACGACAACAACAACAACAAAACCAACUACAACAUCAACAGCAGCAGCAUCAGGCCCCUUGGCGGAGACUUUGACGGCCGGAAAGAAAGACCCUGUGAGCAAGCCAGCAAACAAGGAAGUCAUCUUUCUAUGAACAAUAACAAGUGGUGCCACUGAGACUUCAUACACACACACACACACACACACACACACACACACUCCAGUACUUCACAGAUGCCCUCCCCCACCACUCCAAUAUAUUUAUAUAGACUGCUAACAUUAUAUUGCUGUCCCUCCC
rnacentral:misc_RNA from 1 species